AUGACCUCAUGGUCACAAGGCAGCAGCUUUACCACUGCGCCAAGGCUCCCCUAUCAGCUUACCACCACCACAACACCUAGUGAGUACAAAAGUUUCUCUGAAUAUUCAGCCAAGAAACAAGGAGAACCAGCCAUGGUCGGUGCCAAGAGGCUUGCCCAAUUGGCUAAGAAGUGGCAGAGGAUGGAGGACAUGGGGAGGAAGAGGAUCACCUAG
rnacentral:rRNA from 1 species